GACGAACGCUGGCGGCGUGCUUAACACAUGCAAGUCGAACGGAGUGGCGAACGGGUGAGUAACACGUGGGUGAUCUGCCUUGCACUUCGGGAUAAGCUUGGGAAACUGGGUCUAAUACCGGAUAGUGCAAGAUGAGCUCGCGGCCGAUCAGCUUGUUGGUGGGGUAAUGGCCUACCAAGGCGUCGACGGGUAGCCGGCCUGAGAGGGUGUACGGCCACAUUGGGACUGAGACACGGCCCAGACUCCGACGAGAGUCAGCAGUGAGGAAUAUGUCACAAUGGGCGGAAGCCUGAUACAGCGACGCCGCGUGGGGGAUGAAGGCCUUCUGGUUGUACACUCAAUACGACAGGGACGCGGUACCUGUAUAAGAAGCACCGGCUAACUACGUGCCAGCGGCCGCGGUAAUUC
rnacentral:rRNA from 1 species